rnacentral:rRNA from 1 species
GACGAACGCUGGCGGCGUGCUUAACACAUGCAAGUCGAACGAAGUGGCGAACGGGUGAGUAACGCGUAAUCAACCUGCCCUUCAGAGGGGGACAACAGUUGGAAACGACUGCUAAUACCGCAUACUGAAGGAGGGGAAUGAGUCGGAUUAGCUAGUGGGAGGGGUAACGGCGCACCAAGGCGAUGAUCAGUAGCCGGUCUGCGAGGAUGAACGGCCCCGUGGGGACUGUGACACUGCCCAGACUCCUACGGGAGUCAGCGGUGGGGAAUCUGCCGCGAUGGACGAAAGUCUGACGGAGCAAGGCCGCGUGAGUGAUGACGGCCUUCGGGUUGUAAAGCUCUGUUAAUCGGGACGCGGUACCGGAAUAGAAAGCCACGGCUAACUACGUGCCAGCCGCCGCGGUAAUUC